rnacentral:rRNA from 1 species
AUUGAACGCUGGCGGCAUGCUUUACACACGCAAGUCGAACGGUAACAGGCCGCAAGGUGCUGACGAGUGGCGAACGGGUGUGUAAUGCAUCGGAACGUGCCCAGUCGUGGGGGAUAACUACUCGAAAGAGUAGCUAAUACCGCAUACGAUCUAUGGAUGAAAGCGGGGGACCGUAAGGCCUCGCGCGAUUGGAGCGGCCGAUGUCAGAUUAGGUAGUUGGUGGGGUAAAGGCUCACCAAGCCAACGAUCUGUAGCUGGUCUGAGAGGACGACCAGCCACACUGGGACUGAGACACGGCCCAGACUCCUACGGGAGGCAGCAGUGGGGAAUUUUGGACAAUGGGCGCAAGCCUGAUCCAGCAAUGCCGCGUACAGGAAGAAGGCCUUCGGGUUGUAAACUGCUUUUGUACGGAACGAAACGGCUCUGGUUAAUACCCGGGGCUAAUGACGGUACCGUAAGAAUAAGCACCGGCUAACUACGUG